rnacentral:lncRNA from 1 species
CUUAAAUGUACUCCCGUGUGGAGCGGAAGAAAUGCACCCGUCCCGCACCCUGCCUUGGGCCACAAAUUGGGGCAUUACAUGUGGUUCAACUCUAGAUUCACCAUCUCCUCUUGCUUCAGAGAAGUAAUCAAGCUAAUUCUUGGCCUAGUGCUAUCCUCCUUCGAUGUGUUUUUGCAUAAUUGAGAUCUUUCAUGGAAAAGUAUACAAUCUUCUGUCCUAGGAGAUCUUACCAGGCCUCUUGGCCCCAAAGGAGGCAAUCAGACCAAAAAUGAUUUCUCAGCGGUUGCCUGAGUGAAUCCUGUGAAUGAAAGGUCUUUGAGGAACAAAUUUACUCAUUUUCUAUUACUCAUGUCCUUGAUACCUUUGGUCAUUGCCCAGACUAUUCAUUAGAAAUUUCUGGCAACUGUUGGAAAGUCUGGAACUUCUCCUUUGCACAUGAGAGGCAGCCCCUGGGUGUUGAUCUCCCUGUGCCACCUUCCUCCAAUGUCAAAGACUUGGCUGCUUUUUUGUUCUGGGGUUUACGUAUCAGGCACCCAGAAGAUUAGGUGGAAAUGACCCAGUCACCCAAGGGUGCUGAAGGGCACAGAACUGUAGCUGGGGCCUGUUCCCAGGAUGGGCAGGUUAUGGGAUUGUGUGGGUAGCAUCUUAUCCUUCUCUCUGUCCCUCUGUACAGGGUGAACUGAAUUCAUCACAGAGCGGGGGAGCCCUGUCCGCGGCAGCCUGCACGGUUCAGUUAACCUGUGAGGCAGGUCCUGUCCUCAGCUGGUCCCAGGAAAACCACAUCUUCCAAGACUCAGCCUCCAGUGAAAAUUCUUUUAGUUCCAUGAAUCCCCACGGUGGCUCCGGAGUCAGCCAGCUUGCAAAGACCCGCUGAUGGCAUCAGGCUGAUACUAAAGCUGAAAAGAACAACAGGGUGUCGAUGUUUGGAGGACAUUCUUAUCCAGGAAAAAAGACAUUUGUACUUUGGUCCUGGUUUUGGGUAACUUCAGAUAAUGCUGUUUUGCUUACAGCUCAGGCCCUUCUACAGGAUGACCACCCUUUAAAAACAUUUUCUUAAGAGAUGAGGAUUCCAGUAAUAAAGAGCAAAACACGAAAAGUACA